UCCAGCAUGGUUUAGUGGUUUGAACAUUGAUUACUACUCUGGAGAUCAGGGUUCAAAUCCCUGCUCAGGAA